rnacentral:tRNA from 1 species
GCGGGAAUAGCUCAGUGGUAGAGCAUCGGCUUCCCAAGCCGAGGGUCGCGGGUUCGAGCCCCGUUUCCCGCUCCA